GGGAACUGAAAUCUUAGGGUAAACUAUCUCUUACUUUUACUAAGACUAUUCCAGUUCUGCAGGUCUUAGAUCUUCAGUUUGAGUCCAGUGUCAAGUUGCUGAAAUAUGGUUUCUCUGAGGCUGAUAUGCUCUUAACUAGCCAGCCAAUCGGAGAAGAUGCAGCAGCAAUGGAUAUACAUGCUCCCCACUGUCCCCAACUCAACUGUGCCGUGCCAGCAAACCUCUUCAAAACCUCUACCAUCAACACUUGAAUGCCAAUUGUCAACCCAAUGACACCAGAAAACAACUUUUUCUUCAUUAUUUCUUCGAGUGUAUUCUUUUCAAAGAGUCUUGCAUUGAUUAUUGUGAACACUUGACAGAGAAUAUAAGUAUUUUGGAUCAACGUAUCUUUCUCCUUACCAUUGAUAUUGAAGAGAGAUUGUCCUUUGAAAUGUAUGGUUAAGAGGAUGGCUAUCUGAUAUAAUGCUUGAGUAAGUAUGGUCCUGAUCAUAAGUGUGGUCAUCAGUGGCUCAUUCUGCUUCCUAGGUGGCUGGUGCAUUAGCUCUUCAGAUGGCUUCUUCACAACAAGGGCUGCAGCAGCUACAAUACUUAGCAGUAGCUUAAUCCACAAAAGUUGAAACACUGGAGAUGGGACUUUCCCAGCUGAAACUGAUACCAUUGCAUCGAAAUUGGGUGGCUCACUAGCUGAAACUGCCAUGAAAAAAUCGAGCACCAUAGAAACAAAAGUGGCAGUGAGCAAGAACUGAGUGUAUACCUGAAUACUCUCAUAAAUUCCCCGACUCCACUUCAAAAUGUCAACCAGCAAAGGGAAUUCCUUAUUAAGCAUUAUUACUCCAGAGCUUGCCUUGGCUAUCUCUGCACCCUGAGUCCCAAAACAGAGCCCUGCUUCAGCUUCUCUAAGUGCCUGUACAUCCCCAGUUCCACGGCCUAGAAAAGCAACAACUUGUCCCAUUUGUUUCAAACACUCUACCAUAAGAACCUUGUCAGAUGGGAUGGCUCUAGCAAUGAGGCGAAUGUUAUUCAGUUUUUCUAAUCUCUCCUCUGCUGUAAAGUUCCUGAACUCCUCCCCUUCUACCACCUCCUCAGGUUUGUGAUUUGGCUCAAGUAUGCCACACUGCACAGCAAUAGCUUUGGCCGUUAGAAUGUUGUCUCCUGUGAUCAAUUUGAAGUUCACUCCUGCUUGCCUGCAGUCCUUUAAAGUGCUUCUUAACCCAGAUCGACGUGGACUUGUUAGACCCGCAAUGCCUAAUAAGAUUAGCUGUUGGCGAGAAAAAGUGAAAUAAUCUCGUAUUGAUGUCUUUCUGUGUGCAAAAGCAAUGCAACGCAUGCCAUUUUCUGCCAUGCCUUCCAGUAUUUGAUCCAACAGCACCUUUGUGUUUUUGUUAAUCACUCUUACAAUACCAUUUGUAUCAUAAUAGUGUGAGCAUGUAGGUAUUAUAACUUCUGCUGCUCCCUUCCGGUGUACAUGAAUUGUAUUGUCUGCAUUCUUACUGAUCAAAACCCCGCUUUGUCUAUUCUUGGAAUUGAAGGGUUCAAUUUCAAGAAUGGUGCAGUUCCCCUUCAGAGUUUCUACAUCCAUGCCUAAGUGCUUUACAGCCCAUUCAAAAAUUGCCUUUUCUGUUGAAUUCUGAGGAGAUCCACACAACGACCUUGAAGGGGGCUGAGUUGUGUUCAGGCCAAUACCUUGGUGUAAUAGCUCUAGAACAUUUGUUGCAAUCAAAUUAUGAGAUGGUUGUAACAGAAGCGACUGAAUGGCAAAGUGAAGGCUCCCUCAUUAGAACACCAGCACGCUUGAGUCUCCUCAUUGAAUAAGCAAGAGUGAUUUUCAGAGCCAAUUGCAGACCCUCUGGAGUAGCUGUCAAAGCAAUCAUUGCGGGUGUGGCAAUAAGUCCAACUAUAGCAGCCAAGGCAUCAUGUAUCUUUGUUUCUCCUCCAAAUGAAACUCUGUUUCCACGUUCAUCAUGUAUUCCUCCAGCAAAGAAUCGAGCCAGUAACACUAAAAAUGUUAUUAGAGCGACUGCCUGGCCAAUUUUACCUACUACUGAGCAUCCGAGCAUAUCCAUCAACAACUGUACUCCCAAAGAACAAGAAUGGAUCCUCAUGGCCAUCAACUUCCACAAGCUCGAUUUGCCCGUCUAUUUUUGUUUUCUCAACUUGCAAUGAGCAGCCUUCAAUGAAAAGUCCAUCUGCAGGAACUUGGUCUCCAGGCUUCAGAAAUACUAUGUCUCCCACAACAACUCUGCAUAUUGACAUUGACUCCCAUCGACCACUUCUCAGAACAUCAACGUGGGGGAUGUAACUGCUAAAGUCAGAGAGGUCGAUGCAUUCACGGAGUGGCCAGAGCUCGCCUCCAGUUGAAACAAGGACUACUGCCAGAACUGCACUAAGCUUGGCCAAUCCUUCUUUACACCCUUCUUUUAGACCAUUCUUUGAAAUGCCAAAGGCAAGAGAAAGAAUAGUAGUUAUGAGAAGGGCAAUGAUCAAUGGCUCUUUAAGUGCCUCCAGGACUAGAGAGGAGAACAGCUUUCGAGGUUUACAGCGUGGACAAAAGUUUGAACCGAAGGCUUUUCGUCUAGCAUCAAGGUCUGCACGGUCACCAUGGAUGCCGUUCUCGACGUCUGUUUCAAGGGCUGAAAUGAUGCCUUCAAUUCCUCCAUUUUCACGAACCCACUUUUGAUCUUUCAUCCUAACAAGUUUAUUGAGGCCUGAGGAGUCAAUGGUGGAGAAACCGGGUGUGUCAAUGUCCAUUACUGUGGUUGAAAGUGUAGGUUGCAGAGUUGAUGAGAAGUGAGAGGAGCUAAGGGAUGACUGAAGAUUGGCAGACAUAAAGUGAGGCUCUAUGUAACGAUUCCGUUACCUGAAAAAGUUCACCCAAGGUGCAGCCUUUCUCUAGUUAGGAUGGAACUAUAGGUGUUUUCAGAUCAUGAGAAGGAAAACUUCUGGACAACGAGUAAAAGUGGGUAAAUGAAUGGGGAAGCAGGAGCUGCAAAGCAAGCUAUAUAUAGGAAUGAGCAUUGCACCCAGAAUGAAUAGAAAACGCGGUAGUGGUUGGAACCUCAGGCAUUUGGCCCACCUCACUUUCUCAGAAGGAGAGGCUCAAGUCCUGGCUAUGAAAUACGCAAUGCCUGCAUAGGUGGGAGCAAGAUAGUUCAAGAAUGGCUAUGAUAUGCACGAACUUGCAUAGGUGGGAGCAAGAUGGUUCAAAAAUGGUCAGUCAUCUCAACCUCACUCUUCCUAUGAACAUUUUCUUUCUCAUGUUGGUGUGGGUAUUGUAUGCUUUUUGAGAAGCUUCCAUGAUAACUGUUCAGCCACGGUUUUGAAAUGAAUAGGCAAGAGUGAAUGUAGGCACCUACAUGACUACAUGGAAAAAAAAAAACAGUGAGGGAAACUGCAAGAAAGUUUCUUGGUUGUUGAAGUAAGGAGAAGACCUUGACUUCACUUCCCUAGUCUUCAAUGACUUUAUAGUUAGAGAAAAUUGUAAUUUAUGUCCCUCCAUAAUAUGUGAAUUAUUAAUGUGACUCCUGAAUUAUUCGUAGUGGAAAUGUUGUCCCUCAAUUUUCAAAACGGUACAUAUAUUGCCCAAAA